GAAUGCAAAGAACAUCACAUUUAGUUUAAUCAGCUGAUUUAUAAAGAAUGUAACCAGAGCAGAGGUAUUCCUGUACAAUCAUUAAUCUUGAAGUGACACAUUUAGUCAAAGCCUGUAGGAACUCUGCUUACAGGUACAGACAAAGUCCUGUAUAAUUUGAGCCUCAUCAGGAGAAAACAUAAGGGUACACACUGACAUACAUGUGUGUGUAUACACGCACACACACACGCACACACACACUCAAAUGCAUAAGUACUCUCACCACUUCAGACAGAAAGUUAAAAAAAAGCAAAUCACUAGAUUUUGCAGAAAAAUAUUGUCAUUUCCUCAUGGAGUUUCCACACAAGCAUGGAAAGUCCAAAGAUACUGUGAGCCAUUCUAAACUCCAUUCCGACAUUGGACUCUUCAAGGAAUUCAGCAUAGAAGUGCAGAAUUAUAGAGGCUUCCCAGCACUUAAACUGGUGAAUCAACUCAUGUGUCCCCUGCCGGGUUCAAUUGGCACAGAAUACGGAGAGGAGAGCCUGCAACGAACUAAGGCAAGCACAAAGUUAGAAACCCGAAAGAACCCAAGUAAAAAAACAAAGACCAACACCUGAUGUGCAGAGAAGGGGAAAAAAACGCAAAGCUUGCGAACAACAGAAGUGAGCAAGAAGAUUCCAAACCAAAAUGUGUCCUUAGAUCAUUGCAUGAUAUGUAGCAUCAGUGAUCAGUGUACAGGCUAAAAUCCGAGUUACUAUCAAGCAGGAUAAUUUCAUGCAUUCCCACAUGAGACUCCCAAAACAGACAUUCCAUUCCAAGUUCUGUCGUGGAGAUUACCAGGUGGACAAGAGCAACGAUUCUAUGGUGUCGCCAAAGUCUGCUUGGAAAUGUGCAACAUCCCUAUUGUCAUUUGGAAACCUUUGACCCUUAAAGAGGAGUUGCAGCAUUCAGUUGUGUACUGGUAAUGAUAACUCCGAGAUUGACAGCCCGAAGCCUGGCUGUGAAAAGAGGAGGGUCGGGCAUUGAGCUUGCAACCGCUUCCUGUAAGAUCCCAGUGCUACAGAAACAGCAAAAGAAGCUUCAAAGACCUCAUCCCUGGGAGAGGAAGGAUACAUCGAGAAGAAGGGCUACGUUUGGAAAAACUUGAUAGACAGGCACAGGGCAGUGGCCUCUGUUGAACUGCUGUCAGAGGCCUAUUGCCCAGUGGGGAUGAUUGGUUUAAGAAGACUGGAAAUGACAUUAAACAAUCUUGAAUCUUAAGGUAAGAAGAUAGGAGGUUUAAAAAUGGUGAUGGGUAAAUACUUCCACACAAAGCGUAGCUGGUAUUUAGAAUAAGCUGCCAGAGGCGGUAGUGGAAACAGGAAUAGUACAACAUUUACAUUUAAGAAGGUAUCUAGACAGAUACUUGAAUGAGCAGAGAAUAGAUGGAUGUGGAAUUAACUCAGAUAACUGGGAUUAGAAUAAAGAGGUAUGAUAGGUAUGCUGAAGUGCCUGUUUCAACUCUACAACUCUGUAAUUACUCUAUCCUUGUUUAUAUGGGUGAAUAACCAUGGAAUUUAAUCGAAUAUUAGCAUUUUGCUUUGGUUAGAAUCGGCUCUUAUUACACUUCCUAACCAAAACAUUCUCAACCUGAGUCAUAUCCUGAGAGCCCCCGGCAAACUAUAAUAUUGGAAUUUUAUUGUAACAGGAGAUCUAAUGGAUUUAAGGCCAGGACAUCUCCGGUUACUCUGUAACACUUCACAUUGAAGGUUGUAAAUUUGGACUGAGGAAUCUCAUUUCCCAAAGAUUUAUAUAAGCAAGGAUAAAAUUUGAAAACAGAGAAGUUAUGGACAACUUAUGUUAAAUAUUGUUGGAAUCACAUUUGGAAUGUUGUGUGCAGGCCUGUUUGUCAUAAAAAAGGAUAUGGAGGUAAUGAAAGAAUUGCUGGCGAGAAUACCAAAGAAGAUUGACAGAAAUUAAGCCUUUCAGUGUGAACAUCUUGUGCUGCUUUUCCCUUGUAAAGACAGCCAAAAAGUUAAAGUUACACAGCAUUUAAUGGAUAAGACAAAGGGAGAAUGUUCUCACUUGAGUGAAAGAAUAACAUUAAAGUCCAUUGGUAUAAGGUAAUCAUUUAAAGAUUAAAUAGAAAAUUCAGCAUAAAUUUCUUUACCUAGGAUGUAGCAAGAAUGUAGAACUCACAAUCAACGAGGUAGUUGUUUAACAGAAAGUUAAACAUGCGUAUCAGGUAGAAGGAAAUUGAAGGUUAUAAUGAAAGAUAGGGCACUAGGUUGCAAGGAACAUGGAACACAUGCCAGAAAAAAAUUGAUUGGCCCAAAUGGUCAGCUUCUAUUCUCUAAAAUCUAUGUCUUCCAUUAUAAUGGAAAAGCAUUUGCCUUGAACUGACAGUAUUUAUCAAACAUUCCAAAGUUCACCUUAAGAACUACAAAAAGGAUAAUGUCCUGACGAAGGGUUCCGGCCCGAAACGUUGACUGAUCGUUUCCACGGAUGCUGUCCGACCUGCUGCAUUCCUCCAGUGUGUUGUGAGUGUUGCUUUGACCCCAGCAUCUGCAGAUUAUUUUGUGUAAUGUACGUGCUUAUUGCCUAGUUUGUUUUUAUUGCUAAUCUUACAUGCACAGACUGGUGGAAUUAAGCCUUUUCGAUCAAUAACACUGAGAUGUUACUUUGUUACCAUAAAACAUUGUCAAUAUUUUGAGGGAAAUGCAAUGGAUUUUAUCACUUUCUCAAUGAAUGCAGACAUUAAUACAGUGCACAGCAAUAUGUGCCACUUCACUGAGUACGUAGCUUCGCACUAGAAAGGAGAGAAUAAAACCACUGACAUGCCAAGUAAAUCAGAAUGAAGCAAAUGAUUUGGGGUGAAGUUACUUUAGGUCAGAACUAUGGAAUGUAGUAAAGAGGAAGCCUCUGUUUAUUAAAGGUUAAGUAACAAUAACACUGAUAACAAGACUUCCUGUUUUCAACAAAUUUGCCUGCAGGUUGGGCGUGAUCUAUCAAGUUCUGAUCAUUUACACAAAGAACUAACUUUUUUUGAAAUUGAUAUAUGCUUUAGUUCAAUCAUUAAAAUUGUAGCCAAGAUUUGAAUAUAGUUUAAAGCUAUUAAAAAAGAAAUAGUAGCAUUUUACAGCACCCAGAAUUAGAUUCAAUUGUUAGGAAAGGAAAAUUGGUGCUGGCCAAACCGAAUAGCAAAAUUUUCUUACACCUUAGAAGUCUAUGAGUGUCUAUAAAAAGUAUUCACACCCUUUGGAAGUUUUCAUGUUUUAUUGUUAUACAACACUGAAUCACAAUGGAUUUAAUUGGCUGAUCAACAGAAAAAGACUCUUUGUGUCAGAAUGAAAACAGAUCUCUACAAAGCAAUCUAGAUUAAUUACAAAUAUAAAACACAAAAUAAUUGAUUGUGUUAAGUAUUCACCCUCUUUAAUAUGACACACUGGUGCAGCCAAUUGGUCUUAGAAGUAACAUAAUUAGUUAAAUGGAGAUCACUGUGUGCAGUCAAGGUGUUUCAAUUGAUUGUAGUAAAAAUACACCUGUAUCUGGAAGGUCCAACUGCUGGUGAGUCAGUAUCCUGGCAAAAUCUACACUAUGAAGAUAGAAGAACACUCUAAGCAACUCUGCAAAAAGGUUAUUGUACAAGUCAGGAGAUGGAUAUAAGAACAUUUCCAAGUCACUUAAUAUCCCUUGCAGUACAGUUAUGUCAAUCAUUAAGUAAUGGAAAGAAUAUGGCACAACUCUAAAUCUGCCUAGAGUAGGCCAUCCUCAAAAACUGAAUGACUGUGCAAGAAGGGAACUCAUGAGGGAAGCCACCAAGAGAACUAUGACAACUCUAGAGAAUUACAAUCUUCAGUGGCUGAGACGGGAGGAACUGCACAUACAGCUGUUACCCAGGUGCUUCACCAGUCGCAGCUUUAUAGGAGAAGAUAUGUUUUCCAGCAAGACAAAGACCUCAAGCAUAAAGCCAAAGCAACGUAGGAAUGGCUUAAAAAUAACAAAGUUAAUGUCCCAGAGUGGCCAAGUCAGAGUCCAGACCUCAAUCCAAUCAAGAAUUUGUGGCUGGACUUGAAAAGGGCUGUUUGUUCAUGAUCCCCAUGCAAUCUGACAGAGCUUGUGCAGUAAAGCCUUCCCCACCGUUGAGCACAUCUGCACUGAGCACUGCUGCAGGAAAGCAGCAUCCAUUAUCAAGGACCCCCACCAUCCAGGGCAGGCUCUCUUCUUGCAGCUGCCAUCAGGAAGGUGGUACAGGAGCCUCAGGACCCACACCACAAGGUUCAGGAGCAGCUACAGGUGUCCCCCGCUUUUCAAACAUUCGCUUUAUGAAACCUCACUGUUACAAAAGACCUACAUUAGUACCCUGUUUUCACUUUCAGAAGGUGUUUUCGCUGUUACGAAAAAAUUCAGCGUGCGAUAAAAAUCAGCACGCGAUAAAGAGCAGUGCGCGCCCCGAGCAGUCGCUCUCCCCGGAUUCGGAAUGGCAUUCUCGCCAGCAUUGCUUUAACAUGAGCCUGUGAGCAGUCAUUUGCAAGAUGAAGUCAUUUGCAAGAAGAGUUCUAUGGUGUCGGAAAAGCCUGGAAGAGCUCGUAAGGGUGUUACACUUAGCAUAAAACUAGACAUAAUUAAGCAUUUCAAUCGUGGUGAACGAAGGAAGGACAAAGUGAGUUUGGCUUGUGGAAGCUGACGAAGAUGAUGUUGAAGAGGUUUUGGCAUCCCAUGACCAAGAACUGAUAGAUGAAGAGCUAAUGUAAUUGAAAGAGGAAAGGAUAACAAUCGAAACCAAAUGAGUAAUGAUAAAGUACGACUUUAAUUUUGAAAGGGUACGUAGGUUUAGGGGAUAUUUGCAAGAUUCUUUGAGUCCUUACAAAGAACUGUAUGAUAGAAAAAUGCGCGAGGCUCAGCAGUCAAGCAAGCCUUCCACAUCAGCCACAGCAGACGAUGAACCUCGACCUUCGACAUCGAGGCGGGCAGUCAUAGGAGAA